AGAACUAACGCUGGCGGCGUGCCUAACACAUGCAAGUCGAGGGAGAAAGGUGGCUUCGGCUACCGAGUAAACCGGCGCACGGGUGAGUAACACGUAGGUAACGUACCCUGGAGUCCGGGAUAACCAGUCGAAAGACUGGCUAAUACCGGAUACGACGACGGGAGCCCCGGCUCCUGUCGUGAAAGACGGCCUCUGUUUACAUGCUGUCACUCCUGGAUCGGCCUGCGCACCAUUACGCUAGUUGGUGAGGUAACGGCUACACCAAGGCUGAGAUGGUUAGCUGGUCUGAGAGAUGGCCAGCCACACGUGGGACUGGACGACACGGCCAGACCUCCGUAACGGGAGGCAGCGAGGUGGGAAUUAGUUCGGCGACAAGGUCGGGGACG
rnacentral:rRNA from 1 species